rnacentral:lncRNA from 1 species
GAUUAUUUAGUCAUAUCAACAUACGUUUACAGUCAGAUUCAAUAACUCCAUGGUUAUUGUUAUCAUCUUUGUUUUACAAAUGUAAACGAUUUCGGGAAUGUCUCUAUAUAAUCAACUAUUUAUUAUUCAGUUGUAACCCGGAUAGGAUAUAUGUACAUUAUGCAAACAGUUUGGCUGAACAGACUGUUUUUAAGCAGAUGAAGCGAACAUUGGGAUUAAUGCAUACGUUUAAAUAUUUGAAUAUUGAUAAUGUAUGUUUUCACUAUCCGUAUUAUUUAUUGCCACACGAACUAAUGUCUGUAAUAACCGGCAACAGUCUUAAAAUUCCUCCUGUUGUGUACUCGUAUCUUCUGCAAUGUCUUUGCUUUUAUCAGCUUGGUGAUAACAGAGGAACACAAAACGCGCUGCAUAGUCUCGAACUAACAAUACAAGAACGAUACUUUAUUUUUCCCAAUGAGUAUUAUUCUGAACAAGUUAAUACAAUUCUUUUUUUAGUGAAAUCAUUAAUAGGAUACACAUAAUCUGCGAGUGACCAUUUCAUUGAUAAACAGCUUUAGUGUGCACCCUAUUUAACAUGGAUACAUUUUCCUUAAAAGAAAUCAAUAUGAGAACAAUAUAAGUGUGCUU